rnacentral:rRNA from 1 species
UGUGUAGGCGGUUGUUUAAGUUUGGUGUGAAAUCUCCCGGCUCAACUGGGAGGGUGCGCCGAAUACUGAAUGACUUCGAGUGCGGGAGAGGAUAGUGGAAUUCCUGGUGUAGCGGUGAAAUGCGUAGAUAUCAGGAGGAACACCGGUGGUGUAGACGGCUAUCUGGACCGUAACUGACGCUGAGACACGAAAGCGUGGGUAGCAAACA